rnacentral:tRNA from 1 species
AGGGGUGUAGCUCAGUUGGUAGAGCGACGGUCUCCAAAACCGUAGGUCUGGAGUUCAAGCCUCCACGCCCCUGCCA